AAGAAAUGCAGCUGUCCAUCAGAAGUAGGAACAGUUUCUCUUGCUAUCAAGAGGUAAGGAAUGCACCUUCUCCUAGCAAUGGAGUGGAAACUAACCAAUCUGAGUGUACUUUCAGGUGAAGGAAGUGAAUCUAGCCUUUGCUGUCAAAGGCUACAAGCAGUUUCAUAAGAAUAAAGCAAGAUACAUAACCAAAGCUUCUGAGGUUACAGAAGUAUUGACUUGUUCCAAUCAAGACUAAGGAAACCACUUAUACCUACUAGAUUUUUAGCAGUACAGCUGAUCGUAUGGAGAGAAAGAGAGAAACCAAUCCAGCAAUUCAUCACGCAGAAGGAGGUCAUAUUUCGAGAUGCAAGGAUGACACAUGGCUGUAGUUUACAGGAAGGAAUUAGCGGAUCCAUCCUUUUAAGGAGAUGUCAAGAACAAAGUGGAACUGAUCAUUUCUAUCAAGAGGUAAGGAACGCACCUCCUCACAGCACGGGGGCAGGACUUAAAGGCUCUGUUUCUAUUUUCAGGUGAAAUGAAGGUCUUACCAUUCAAGGGAGGAUGAUAAGAGGCUGCUGAAUUGAAGAAAAAAAGACAGGGAGAAAAACUGUGGAUGACCUUACUUGUCAUGGGGAGAGUGUCAAAAGCAGACUCGGGACAAAUCUGAAUCAAGUCAGCAGACCAUCAGACAUGGAGGUAAGCAUUUACGUUUCCCUGGUUGACAAAUGAAUCUGAGGCUAAAGCGACACUUGCAGACCAAAUAAAGAGGUCACGUUGCAUCUCCAGAUGGAAGGAGACCAGAGGGCUGUUGUGUUCUAGCAGAAAUUAAUGCAAAUCCAACUAGCUGAACCAGGCAUGUCAGUUGGUAAAGAAAUGCACUUUUUUUCCCCUCUUAACAUUCAAGUGGCAAUGAAUAGAUUCUCACACUUUCAGAUGAGAGAAAUGCAGCCGAUUUGAACGUUGAGGGUGUGAAAACUUCAGGAAGUUGCUAGAAGAUCUGGGAUAUCUACAGAAAGGAAACAAGCAAAACUCAUCACUGCUACCAAGAGGUAAGGAACUCACCUUAGAAUGGAAAAAUUGAUGGAUCUGGUUUCCCUUCAGGUGAAAGAAAUGCAGCUGUCCGUCAGAAGUAGGAACAGUUUCUCUUGCUAUCAAGAGGUAAGGAAUGCACCUUCUCCUAGCAAUGGAGUGGAAACUAACCAAUCUGAGUGUACUUUCAGGUGAAGGAAGUGAAUCUAGCCUUUGCUGUCAAAGGCUACAAGCAGUUUCAUAAGAAUAAAGCAAGAUACAUAACCAAAGCUACUGAGGUUACAGAAGUAUUGACUUGUUCCAAUCAAGACUAAGGAAACCACUUAUACCUACUAGAUUUUUAGCAGUACAGCUGAUCGUAUGGAGAGAAAGAGAGAAACCAAUCCAGCAAUUCAUCACGCAGAAGGAGGUCAUAUUUCGAGAUGCAAGGAUGACACAUGGCUGUAGUUUACAGGAAGGAAUUAGCGGAUCCAUCCUUUUAAGGAGGUAAGAAAUACAAUACACCAUUCCCAUAAUAGUCAAUGGUUCUGGUCAUCCUUUCAGGUGGAAGGAAGGUAACGGAGGAAAUUUUCAUCUCUCUAAAGAGCAUGAGAAGUUGCUGUACUGAAUAAAGCACUAAAAAUGGGAGCUACCUGUUCAGAUGAAAGGAAAGUAGUUGGUAAUUCUAACCAAAGAUGAUGAUCUUUGUUCCUUUUCCUUCCCAGAGAAGGCCAUUGGUUGUUCCUACAAGGAUGGAACAGGGAAGUUAUUUCAAAGAACAAGUGCAACUAACCAGAGUGUGAAGAUGAGCAUUGAGCCUGCUCUUUCAUUUGCAGAGAGGAGUUGUCCAGCUGAUUCUAGUUGUGCCUAAUUGAUCAUUUUGCUUAUUUUUCAGAUGUCAAGAACUAAGUGGAACUGAUCAUUUCUAUCAAGAGGUAAGGAACGCACCUCCUCACAGCACGGGGGCAGGACUUAAAGGCUCUGUUUCUAUUUUCAGGUGAAAUGAAGGUCUUACCAUUCAAGGGAGGAUGGUAAGAGGCUGCUGAAUUGAAGAAAAAAAGACAGGUAAGGAUACCUGGCCAGAGGAAAGAAAAGCAUCUUUUACUUUUACUUCUAGUUCAGAAAAAGGCAAGCAGCCAUUUAUAUGCUUCAGGUUUUACCCAGCGUAGCUGGUUGUACCGCUAAGAAUCAAAGCCUUGCGGUGGAACAUGACUGACAAGUAGGUGAGCACUGAAAGGUCUCUAGAAGCCUAAUGAUCUGGAUGCUAAGGAACCUUCUCCAUAGAUGACUCUUCAUAGCUGCUAGUGAGUAAUAAUAAAUAAAUCUGUCAAACAUUGAUUGCAGGUUUUGCUGUGAGAUAUGAAGAGACCAGGUGGCCAUUCCUACCAGGGAGAAGUGAGGCUAAGUGGCGUGGCUGUCCCGGGCAAGGAGGUAAGAAAUACCAGUCUCCAAACAUCCAUGUGUACAUGAAGUGGUGUGGAUUUUGCUUUCAGGGAGAAAAACUGUGGAUGACCUUACUUGUCAUGGGGAGAGUGUCAAAAGCAGACUCGGGACAAAUCUGAAUCAAGUCAGCAGACCAUCAGACAUGGAGGUAAGCAUUUACGUUUCCCUGGUUGACAAAUGAAUCUGAGGCUAAAGCGACACUUGCAGACCAAAUAAAGAGGUCACGUUGCAUCUCCAGAUGGAAGGAGACCAGAGGGCUGUUGUGUUCUAGCAGAAAUUAAUGCAAAUCCAACUAGCUGAACCAGGCAUGUCAGUUGGUAAAGAAAUGCACUUUUUUUCCCCUCUUAACAUUCAAGUGGCAAUGAAUAGAUUCUCACACUUUCAGAUGAGAGAAAUGCAGCCGAUUUGAACGUUGAGGGUGUGAAAACUUCAGGAAGUUGCUAGAAGAUCUGGGAUAUCUACAGAAAGGAAACAAGCAAAACUCAUCACUGCUACCAAGAGGUAAGGAACUCACCUUAGAAUGGAAAAAUUGAUGGAUCUGGUUUCCCUUCAGGUGAAAGAAAUGCAGCUGUCCGUCAGAAGUAGGAACAGUUUCUCUUGCUAUCAAGAGGUAAGGAAUGCACCUUCUCCUAGCAAUGGAGUGGAAACUAACCAAUCUGAGUGUACUUUCAGGUGAAGGAAGUGAAUCUAGCCUUUGCUGUCAAAGGCUACAAGCAGUUUCAUAAGAAUAAAGCAAGAUACAUAACCAAAGCUUCUGAGGUUACAGAAGUAUUGACUUGUUCCAAUCAAGAAUAAGGAAACCACUUAUACCUACUAGAUUUUUAGCAGUACAGCUGAUCGUAUGGAGAGAAAGAGAGAAACCAAUCCAGCAAUUCAUCACGCAGAAGGAGGUCAUAUUUCGAGAUGCAAGGAUGACACAUGGCUGUAGUUUACAGGAAGGAAUUAGCGGAUCCAUCCUUUUAAGGAGAUGUCAAGAACUAAGUGGAACUGAUCAUUUCUAUCAAGAGGUAAGGAACGCACCUCCUCACAGCACGGGGGCAGGACUUAAAGGCUCUGUUUCUAUUUUCAGGUGAAAUGAAGGUCUUACCAUUCAAGGGAGGAUGGUAAGAGGCUGCUGAAUUGAAGAAAAAAAGACAGGUAAGGAUACCUGGCCAGAGGAAAGAAAAGCAUCUUUUACUUUUACUUCUAGUUCAGAAAAAGGCAAGCAGCCAUUUAUAUGCUUCAGGUUUUACCCAGCGUAGCUGGUUGUACCGCUAAGAAUCAAAGCCUUGCGGUGGAACAUGACUGACAAGUAGGUGAGCACUGAAAGGUCUCUAGAAGCCUAAUGAUCUGGAUGCUAAGGAACCUUCUCCAUAGAUGACUCUUCAUAGCUGCUAGUGAGUAAUAAUAAAUAAAUCUGUCAAACAUUGAUUGCAGGUUUUGCUGUGAGAUAUGAAGAGACCAGGUGGCCAUUCCUACCAGGGAGAAGUGAGGCUAAGUGGCGUGGCUGUCCCGGGCAAGGAGGUAAGAAAUACCAGUCUCCAAACAUCCAUGUGUACAUGAAGUGGUGUGGAUUUUGCUUUCAGGGAGAAAAACUGUGGAUGACCUUACUUGUCAUGGGGAGAGUGUCAAAAGCAGACUCGGGACAAAUCUGAAUCAAGUCAGCAGACCAUCAGACAUGGAGGUAAGCAUUUACGUUUCCCUGGUUGACAAAUGAAUCUGAGGCUAAAGCGACACUUGCAGACCAAAUAAAGAGGUCACGUUGCAUCUCCAGAUGGAAGGAGACCAGAGGGCUGUUGUGUUCUAGCAGAAAUUAAUGCAAAUCCAACUAGCUGAACCAGGCAUGUCAGUUGGUAAAGAAAUGCACUUUUUUUCCCCUCUUAACAUUCAAGUGGCAAUGAAUAGAUUCUCACACUUUCAGAUGAGAGAAAUGCAGCCGAUUUGAACGUUGAGGGUGUGAAAACUUCAGGAAGUUGCUAGAAGAUCUGGGAUAUCUACAGAAAGGAAACAAGCAAAACUCAUCACUGCUACCAAGAGGUAAGGAACUCACCUUAGAAUGGAAAAAUUGAUGGAUCUGGUUUCCCUUCAGGUGAAAGAAAUGCAGCUGUCCGUCAGAAGUAGGAACAGUUUCUCUUGCUAUCAAGAGGUAAGGAAUGCACCUUCUCCUAGCAAUGGAGUGGAAACUAACCAAUCUGAGUGUACUUUCAGGUGAAGGAAGUGAAUCUAGCCUUUGCUGUCAAAGGCUACAAGCAGUUUCAUAAGAAUAAAGCAAGAUACAUAACCAAAGCUUCUGAGGUUACAGAAGUAUUGACUUGUUCCAAUCAAGACUAAGGAAACCACUUAUACCUACUAGAUUUUUAGCAGUACAGCUGAUCGUAUGGAGAGAAAGAGAGAAACCAAUCCAGCAAUUCAUCACGCAGAAGGAGGUCAUAUUUCGAGAUGCAAGGAUGACACAUGGCUGUAGUUUACAGGAAGGAAUUAGCGGAUCCAUCCUUUUAAGGAGAUGUCAAGAACUAAGUGGAACUGAUCAUUUCUAUCAAGAGGUAAGGAACGCACCUCCUCACAGCACGGGGGCAGGACUUAAAGGCUCUGUUUCUAUUUUCAGGUGAAAUGAAGGUCUUACCAUUCAAGGGAGGAUGGUAAGAGGCUGCUGAAUUGAAGAAAAAAAGACAGGUAAGGAUACCUGGCCAGAGGAAAGAAAAGCAUCUUUUACUUUUACUUCUAGUUCAGAAAAAGGCAAGCAGCCAUUUAUAUGCUUCAGGUUUUACCCAGCGUAGCUGGUUGUACCGCUAAGAAUCAAAGCCUUGCGGUGGAACAUGACUGACAAGUAGGUGAGCACUGAAAGGUCUCUAGAAGCCUAAUGAUCUGGAUGCUAAGGAACCUUCUCCAUAGAUGACUCUUCAUAGCUGCUAGUGAGUAAUAAUAAAUAAAUCUGUCAAACAUUGAUUGCAGGUUUUGCUGUGAGAUAUGAAGAGACCAGGUGGCCAUUCCUACCAGGGAGAAGUGAGGCUAAGUGGCGUGGCUGUCCCGGGCAAGGAGGUAAGAAAUACCAGUCUCCAAACAUCCAUGUGUACAUGAAGUGGUGUGGAUUUUGCUUUCAGGGAGAAAAACUGUGGAUGACCUUACUUGUCAUGGGGAGAGUGUCAAAAGCAGACUCGGGACAAAUCUGAAUCAAGUCAGCAGACCAUCAGACAUGGAGGUAAGCAUUUACGUUUCCCUGGUUGACAAAUGAAUCUGAGGCUAAAGCGACACUUGCAGACCAAAUAAAGAGGUCACGUUGCAUCUCCAGAUGGAAGGAGACCAGAGGGCUGUUGUGUUCUAGCAGAAAUUAAUGCAAAUCCAACUAGCUGAACCAGGCAUGUCAGUUGGUAAAGAAAUGCACUUUUUUUCCCCUCUUAACAUUCAAGUGGCAAUGAAUAGAUUCUCACACUUUCAGAUGAGAGAAAUGCAGCCGAUUUGAACGUUGAGGGUGUGAAAACUUCAGGAAGUUGCUAGAAGAUCUGGGAUAUCUACAGAAAGGAAACAAGCAAAACUCAUCACUGCUACCAAGAGGUAAGGAACUCACCUUAGAAUGGAAAAAUUGAUGGAUCUGGUUUCCCUUCAGGUGAAAGAAAUGCAGCUGUCCGUCAGAAGUAGGAACAGUUUCUCUUGCUAUCAAGAGGUAAGGAAUGCACCUUCUCCUAGCAAUGGAGUGGAAACUAACCAAUCUGAGUGUACUUUCAGGUGAAGGAAGUGAAUCUAGCCUUUGCUGUCAAAGGCUACAAGCAGUUUCAUAAGAAUAAAGCAAGAUACAUAACCAAAGCUUCUGAGGUUACAGAAGUAUUGACUUGUUCCAAUCAAGACUAAGGAAACCACUUAUACCUACUAGAUUUUUAGCAGUACAGCUGAUCGUAUGGAGAGAAAGAGAGAAACCAAUCCAGCAAUUCAUCACGCAGAAGGAGGUCAUAUUUCGAGAUGCAAGGAUGACACAUGGCUGUAGUUUACAGGAAGGAAUUAGCGGAUCCAUCCUUUUAAGGAGAUGUCAAGAACUAAGUGGAACUGAUCAUUUCUAUCAAGAGGUAAGGAACGCACCUCCUCACAGCACGGGGGCAGGACUUAAAGGCUCUGUUUCUAUUUUCAGGUGAAAUGAAGGUCUUACCAUUCAAGGGAGGAUGAUAAGAGGCUGCUGAAUUGAAGAAAAAAAGACAGGUAAGGAUACCUGGCCAGAGGAAAGAAAAGCAUCUUUUACUUUUACUUCUAGUUCAGAAAAAGGCAAGCAGCCAUUUAUAUGCUUCAGGUUUUACCCAGCGUAGCUGGUUGUACCGCUAAGAAUCAAAGCCUUGCGGUGGAACAUGACUGACAAGUAGGUGAGCACUGAAAGGUCUCUAGAAGCCUAAUGAUCUGGAUGCUAAGGAACCUUCUCCAUAGAUGACUCUUCAUAGCUGCUAGUGAGUAAUAAUAAAUAAAUCUGUCAAACAUUGAUUGCAGGUUUUGCUGUGAGAUAUGAAGAGACCAGGUGGCCAUUCCUACCAGGGAGAAGUGAGGCUAAGUGGCGUGGCUGUCCCGGGCAAGGAGGUAAGAAAUACCAGUCUCCAAACAUCCAUGUGUACAUGAAGUGGUGUGGAUUUUGCUUUCAGGGAGAAAAACUGUGGAUGACCUUACUUGUCAUGGGGAGAGUGUCAAAAGCAGACUCGGGACAAAUCUGAAUCAAGUCAGCAGACCAUCAGACAUGGAGGUAAGCAUUUACGUUUCCCUGGUUGACAAAUGAAUCUGAGGCUAAAGCGACACUUGCAGACCAAAUAAAGAGGUCACGUUGCAUCUCCAGAUGGAAGGAGACCAGAGGGCUGUUGUGUUCUAGCAGAAAUUAAUGCAAAUCCAACUAGCUGAACCAGGCAUGUCAGUUGGUAAAGAAAUGCACUUUUUUUCCCCUCUUAACAUUCAAGUGGCAAUGAAUAGAUUCUCACACUUUCAGAUGAGAGAAAUGCAGCCGAUUUGAACGUUGAGGGUGUGAAAACUUCAGGAAGUUGCUAGAAGAUCUGGGAUAUCUACAGAAAGGAAACAAGCAAAACUCAUCACUGCUACCAAGAGGUAAGGAACUCACCUUAGAAUGGAAAAAUUGAUGGAUCUGGUUUCCCUUCAGGUGAAAGAAAUGCAGCUGUCCGUCAGAAGUAGGAACAGUUUCUCUUGCUAUCAAGAGGUAAGGAAUGCACCUUCUCCUAGCAAUGGAGUGGAAACUAACCAAUCUGAGUGUACUUUCAGGUGAAGGAAGUGAAUCUAGCCUUUGCUGUCAAAGGCUACAAGCAGUUUCAUAAGAAUAAAGCAAGAUACAUAACCAAAGCUUCUGAGGUUACAGAAGUAUUGACUUGUUCCAAUCAAGACUAAGGAAACCACUUAUACCUACUAGAUUUUUAGCAGUACAGCUGAUCGUAUGGAGAGAAAGAGAGAAACCAAUCCAGCAAUUCAUCACGCAGAAGGAGGUCAUAUUUCGAGAUGCAAGGAUGACACAUGGCUGUAGUUUACAGGAAGGAAUUAGCGGAUCCAUCCUUUUAAGGAGAUGUCAAGAACUAAGUGGAACUGAUCAUUUCUAUCAAGAGGUAAGGAACGCACCUCCUCACAGCACGGGGGCAGGACUUAAAGGCUCUGUUUCUAUUUUCAGGUGAAAUGAAGGUCUUACCAUUCAAGGGAGGAUGAUAAGAGGCUGCUGAAUUGAAGAAAAAAAGACAGGUAAGGAUACCUGGCCAGAGGAAAGAAAAGCAUCUUUUACUUUUACUUCUAGUUCAGAAAAAGGCAAGCAGCCAUUUAUAUGCUUCAGGUUUUACCCAGCGUAGCUGGUUGUACCGCUAAGAAUCAAAGCCUUGCGGUGGAACAUGACUGACAAGUAGGUGAGCACUGAAAGGUCUCUAGAAGCCUAAUGAUCUGGAUGCUAAGGAACCUUCUCCAUAGAUGACUCUUCAUAGCUGCUAGUGAGUAAUAAUAAAUAAAUCUGUCAAACAUUGAUUGCAGGUUUUGCUGUGAGAUAUGAAGAGACCAGGUGGCCAUUCCUACCAGGGAGAAGUGAGGCUAAGUGGCGUGGCUGUCCCGGGCAAGGAGGUAAGAAAUACCAGUCUCCAAACAUCCAUGUGUACAUGAAGUGGUGUGGAUUUUGCUUUCAGGGAGAAAAACUGUGGAUGACCUUACUUGUCAUGGGGAGAGUGUCAAAAGCAGACUCGGGACAAAUCUGAAUCAAGUCAGCAGACCAUCAGACAUGGAGGUAAGCAUUUACGUUUCCCUGGUUGACAAAUGAAUCUGAGGCUAAAGCGACACUUGCAGACCAAAUAAAGAGGUCACGUUGCAUCUCCAGAUGGAAGGAGACCAGAGGGCUGUUGUGUUCUAGCAGAAAUUAAUGCAAAUCCAACUAGCUGAACCAGGCAUGUCAGUUGGUAAAGAAAUGCACUUUUUUUCCCCUCUUAACAUUCAAGUGGCAAUGAAUAGAUUCUCACACUUUCAGAUGAGAGAAAUGCAGCCGAUUUGAACGUUGAGGGUGUGAAAACUUCAGGAAGUUGCUAGAAGAUCUGGGAUAUCUACAGAAAGGAAACAAGCAAAACUCAUCACUGCUACCAAGAGGUAAGGAACUCACCUUAGAAUGGAAAAAUUGAUGGAUCUGGUUUCCCUUCAGGUGAAAGAAAUGCAGCUGUCCGUCAGAAGUAGGAACAGUUUCUCUUGCUAUCAAGAGGUAAGGAAUGCACCUUCUCCUAGCAAUGGAGUGGAAACUAACCAAUCUGAGUGUACUUUCAGGUGAAGGAAGUGAAUCUAGCCUUUGCUGUCAAAGGCUACAAGCAGUUUCAUAAGAAUAAAGCAAGAUACAUAACCAAAGCUUCUGAGGUUACAGAAGUAUUGACUUGUUCCAAUCAAGACUAAGGAAACCACUUAUACCUACUAGAUUUUUAGCAGUACAGCUGAUCGUAUGGAGAGAAAGAGAGAAACCAAUCCAGCAAUUCAUCACGCAGAAGGAGGUCAUAUUUCGAGAUGCAAGGAUGACACAUGGCUGUAGUUUACAGGAAGGAAUUAGCGGAUCCAUCCUUUUAAGGAGAUGUCAAGAACUAAGUGGAACUGAUCAUUUCUAUCAAGAGGUAAGGAACGCACCUCCUCACAGCACGGGGGCAGGACUUAAAGGCUCUGUUUCUAUUUUCAGGUGAAAUGAAGGUCUUACCAUUCAAGGGAGGAUGAUAAGAGGCUGCUGAAUUGAAGAAAAAAAGACAGGUAAGGAUACCUGGCCAGAGGAAAGAAAAGCAUCUUUUACUUUUACUUCUAGUUCAGAAAAAGGCAAGCAGCCAUUUAUAUGCUUCAGGUUUUACCCAGCGUAGCUGGUUGUACCGCUAAGAAUCAAAGCCUUGCGGUGGAACAUGACUGACAAGUAGGUGAGCACUGAAAGGUCUCUAGAAGCCUAAUGAUCUGGAUGCUAAGGAACCUUCUCCAUAGAUGACUCUUCAUAGCUGCUAGUGAGUAAUAAUAAAUAAAUCUGUCAAACAUUGAUUGCAGGUUUUGCUGUGAGAUAUGAAGAGACCAGGUGGCCAUUCCUACCAGGGAGAAGUGAGGCUAAGUGGCGUGGCUGUCCCGGGCAAGGAGGUAAGAAAUACCAGUCUCCAAACAUCCAUGUGUACAUGAAGUGGUGUGGAUUUUGCUUUCAGGGAGAAAAACUGUGGAUGACCUUACUUGUCAUGGGGAGAGUGUCAAAAGCAGACUCGGGACAAAUCUGAAUCAAGUCAGCAGACCAUCAGACAUGGAGGUAAGCAUUUACGUUUCCCUGGUUGACAAAUGAAUCUGAGGCUAAAGCGACACUUGCAGACCAAAUAAAGAGGUCACGUUGCAUCUCCAGAUGGAAGGAGACCAGAGGGCUGUUGUGUUCUAGCAGAAAUUAAUGCAAAUCCAACUAGCUGAACCAGGCAUGUCAGUUGGUAAAGAAAUGCACUUUUUUUCCCCUCUUAACAUUCAAGUGGCAAUGAAUAGAUUCUCACACUUUCAGAUGAGAGAAAUGCAGCCGAUUUGAACGUUGAGGGUGUGAAAACUUCAGGAAGUUGCUAGAAGAUCUGGGAUAUCUACAGAAAGGAAACAAGCAAAACUCAUCACUGCUACCAAGAGGUAAGGAACUCACCUUAGAAUGGAAAAAUUGAUGGAUCUGGUUUCCCUUCAGGUGAAAGAAAUGCAGCUGUCCGUCAGAAGUAGGAACAGUUUCUCUUGCUAUCAAGAGGUAAGGAAUGCACCUUCUCCUAGCAAUGGAGUGGAAACUAACCAAUCUGAGUGUACUUUCAGGUGAAGGAAGUGAAUCUAGCCUUUGCUGUCAAAGGCUACAAGCAGUUUCAUAAGAAUAAAGCAAGAUACAUAACCAAAGCUUCUGAGGUUACAGAAGUAUUGACUUGUUCCAAUCAAGACUAAGGAAACCACUUAUACCUACUAGAUUUUUAGCAGUACAGCUGAUCGUAUGGAGAGAAAGAGAGAAACCAAUCCAGCAAUUCAUCACGCAGAAGGAGGUCAUAUUUCGAGAUGCAAGGAUGACACAUGGCUGUAGUUUACAGGAAGGAAUUAGCGGAUCCAUCCUUUUAAGGAGAUGUCAAGAACUAAGUGGAACUGAUCAUUUCUAUCAAGAGGUAAGGAACGCACCUCCUCACAGCACGGGGGCAGGACUUAAAGGCUCUGUUUCUAUUUUCAGGUGAAAUGAAGGUCUUACCAUUCAAGGGAGGAUGAUAAGAGGCUGCUGAAUUGAAGAAAAAAAGACAGGUAAGGAUACCUGGCCAGAGGAAAGAAAAGCAUCUUUUACUUUUACUUCUAGUUCAGAAAAAGGCAAGCAGCCAUUUAUAUGCUUCAGGUUUUACCCAGCGUAGCUGGUUGUACCGCUAAGAAUCAAAGCCUUGCGGUGGAACAUGACUGACAAGUAGGUGAGCACUGAAAGGUCUCUAGAAGCCUAAUGAUCUGGAUGCUAAGGAACCUUCUCCAUAGAUGACUCUUCAUAGCUGCUAGUGAGUAAUAAUAAAUAAAUCUGUCAAACAUUGAUUGCAGGUUUUGCUGUGAGAUAUGAAGAGACCAGGUGGCCAUUCCUACCAGGGAGAAGUGAGGCUAAGUGGCGUGGCUGUCCCGGGCAAGGAGGUAAGAAAUACCAGUCUCCAAACAUCCAUGUGUACAUGAAGUGGUGUGGAUUUUGCUUUCAGGGAGAAAAACUGUGGAUGACCUUACUUGUCAUGGGGAGAGUGUCAAAAGCAGACUCGGGACAAAUCUGAAUCAAGUCAGCAGACCAUCAGACAUGGAGGUAAGCAUUUACGUUUCCCUGGUUGACAAAUGAAUCUGAGGCUAAAGCGACACUUGCAGACCAAAUAAAGAGGUCACGUUGCAUCUCCAGAUGGAAGGAGACCAGAGGGCUGUUGUGUUCUAGCAGAAAUUAAUGCAAAUCCAACUAGCUGAACCAGGCAUGUCAGUUGGUAAAGAAAUGCACUUUUUUUCCCCUCUUAACAUUCAAGUGGCAAUGAAUAGAUUCUCACACUUUCAGAUGAGAGAAAUGCAGCCGAUUUGAACGUUGAGGGUGUGAAAACUUCAGGAAGUUGCUAGAAGAUCUGGGAUAUCUACAGAAAGGAAACAAGCAAAACUCAUCACUGCUACCAAGAGGUAAGGAACUCACCUUAGAAUGGAAAAAUUGAUGGAUCUGGUUUCCCUUCAGGUGAAAGAAAUGCAGCUGUCCGUCAGAAGUAGGAACAGUUUCUCUUGCUAUCAAGAGGUAAGGAAUGCACCUUCUCCUAGCAAUGGAGUGGAAACUAACCAAUCUGAGUGUACUUUCAGGUGAAGGAAGUGAAUCUAGCCUUUGCUGUCAAAGGCUACAAGCAGUUUCAUAAGAAUAAAGCAAGAUACAUAACCAAAGCUUCUGAGGUUACAGAAGUAUAGACUUGUUCCAAUCAAGACUAAGGAAACCACUUAUACCUACUAGAUUUUUAGCAGUACAGCUGAUCGUAUGGAGAGAAAGAGAGAAACCAAUCCAGCAAUUCAUCACGCAGAAGGAGGUCAUAUUUCGAGAUGCAAGGAUGACACAUGGCUGUAGUUUACAGGAAGGAAUUAGCGGAUCCAUCCUUUUAAGGAGAUGUCAAGAACUAAGUGGAACUGAUCAUUUCUAUCAAGAGGUAAGGAACGCACCUCCUCACAGCACGGGGGCAGGACUUAAAGGCUCUGUUUCUAUUUUCAGGUGAAAUGAAGGUCUUACCAUUCAAGGGAGGAUGGUAAGAGGCUGCUGAAUUGAAGAAAAAAAGACAGGUAAGGAUACCUGGCCAGAGGAAAGAAAAGCAUCUUUUACUUUUACUUCUAGUUCAGAAAAAGGCAAGCAGCCAUUUAUAUGCUUCAGGUUUUACCCAGCGUAGCUGGUUGUACCGCUAAGAAUCAAAGCCUUGCGGUGGAACAUGACUGACAAGUAGGUGAGCACUGAAAGGUCUCUAGAAGCCUAAUGAUCUGGAUGCUAAGGAACCUUCUCCAUAGAUGACUCUUCAUAGCUGCUAGUGAGUAAUAAUAAAUAAAUCUGUCAAACAUUGAUUGCAGGUUUUGCUGUGAGAUAUGAAGAGACCAGGUGGCCAUUCCUACCAGGGAGAAGUGAGGCUAAGUGGCGUGGCUGUCCCGGGCAAGGAGGUAAGAAAUACCAGUCUCCAAACAUCCAUGUGUACAUGAAGUGGUGUGGAUUUUGCUUUCAGGGAGAAAAACUGUGGAUGACCUUACUUGUCAUGGGGAGAGUGUCAAAAGCAGACUCGGGACAAAUCUGAAUCAAGUCAGCAGACCAUCAGACAUGGAGGUAAGCAUUUACGUUUCCCUGGUUGACAAAUGAAUCUGAGGCUAAAGCGACACUUGCAGACCAAAUAAAGAGGUCACGUUGCAUCUCCAGAUGGAAGGAGACCAGAGGGCUGUUGUGUUCUAGCAGAAAUUAAUGCAAAUCCAACUAGCUGAACCAGGCAUGUCAGUUGGUAAAGAAAUGCACUUUUUUUCCCCUCUUAACAUUCAAGUGGCAAUGAAUAGAUUCUCACACUUUCAGAUGAGAGAAAUGCAGCCGAUUUGAACGUUGAGGGUGUGAAAACUUCAGGAAGUUGCUAGAAGAUCUGGGAUAUCUACAGAAAGGAAACAAGCAAAACUCAUCACUGCUACCAAGAGGUAAGGAACUCACCUUAGAAUGGAAAAAUUGAUGGAUCUGGUUUCCCUUCAGGUGAAAGAAAUGCAGCUGUCCGUCAGAAGUAGGAACAGUUUCUCUUGCUAUCAAGAGGUAAGGAAUGCACCUUCUCCUAGCAAUGGAGUGGAAACUAACCAAUCUGAGUGUACUUUCAGGUGAAGGAAGUGAAUCUAGCCUUUGCUGUCAAAGGCUACAAGCAGUUUCAUAAGAAUAAAGCAAGAUACAUAACCAAAGCUUCUGAGGUUACAGAAGUAUUGACUUGUUCCAAUCAAGACUAAGGAAACCACUUAUACCUACUAGAUUUUUAGCAGUACAGCUGAUCGUAUGGAGAGAAAGAGAGAAACCAAUCCAGCAAUUCAUCACGCAGAAGGAGGUCAUAUUUCGAGAUGCAAGGAUGACACAUGGCUGUAGUUUACAGGAAGGAAUUAGCGGAUCCAUCCUUUUAAGGAGGUAAGAAAUACAAUACACCAUUCCCAUAAUAGUCAAUGGUUCUGGUCAUCCUUUCAGGUGGAAGGAAGGUAACGGAGGAAAUUUUCAUCUCUCUAAAGAGCAUGAGAAGUUGCUGUACUGAAUAAAGCACUAAAAAUGGGAGCUACCUGUUCAGAUGAAAGGAAAGUAGUUGGUAAUUCUAACCAAAGAUGAUGAUCUUUGUUCCUUUUCCUUCCCAGAGAAGGCCAUUGGUUGUUCCUACAAGGAUGGAACAGGGAAGUUAUUUCAAAGAACAAGUGCAACUAACCAGAGUGUGAAGAUGAGCAUUGAGCCUGCUCUUCCAUUUGCAGAGAGGAGUUGUCCAGCUGAUUCUAGUUGUGCCUAAUUGAUCAUUGUUGCUUAUUUUUCAGAUGUCAAGAACAAAGUGGAACUGAUCAUUUCUAUCAAGAGGUAAGGAACGCACCUCCUCACAGCACGGGGGCAGGACUUAAAGGCUCUGUUUCUAUUUUCAGGUGAAAUGAAGGUCUUACCAUUCAAGGGAGGAUGAUAAGAGGCUGCUGAAUUGAAGAAAAAAAGACAGGUAAGGAUACCUGGCCAGAGGAAAGAAAAGCAUCUUUUACUUUUACUUCUAGUUCAGAAAAAGGCAAGCAGCCAUUUAUAUGCUUCAGGUUUUACCCAGCGUAGCUGGUUGUACCGCUAAGAAUCAAAGCCUUGCGGUGGAACAUGACUGACAAGUAGGUGAGCACUGAAAGGUCUCUAGAAGCCUAAUGAUCUGGAUGCUAAGGAACCUUCUCCAUAGAUGACUCUUCAUAGCUGCUAGUGAGUAAUAAUAAAUAAAUCUGUCAAACAUUGAUUGCAGGUUUUGCUGUGAGAUAUGAAGAGACCAGGUGGCCAUUCCUACCAGGGAGAAGUGAGGCUAAGUGGCGUGGCUGUCCCGGGCAAGGAGGUAAGAAAUACCAGUCUCCAAACAUCCAUGUGUACAUGAAGUGGUGUGGAUUUUGCUUUCAGGGAGAAAAACUGUGGAUGACCUUACUUGUCAUGGGGAGAGUGUCAAAAGCAGACUCGGGACAAAUAACAUGGACUUGCCCAAA